UCGUGCGGAUCGAACGUCUGGCGCUGCGUUCACGCGACUCGACUCGUACGCUGCAGGGAACCAGUUACCAGUGACCAGUAAACAGUGACCGGUGAACACAGUGACUAGUGAAACAGACAGUGAACGAGUAACAGCCCGAGAAUUGUUGCAUUUACGGCGGAAUCGCAUGGAUAUUGAAAAAGACAUUUGAAGAAGAUGCGAGGACUCGACUCCUGACAGAAUGCAGACCUAGAUUCCCAGUCCAGAUCCGCAGAUUCGCACAUUCGC
rnacentral:sRNA from 1 species